CUUAAGCCCCUAUUUUAUCUCUUGUGACUAGUUUCAGCCCUUCCAAAUACCUUGCCACCUGUUGGCCCUCACUUUCAGAAGGUUAUUGCUUUCUACCAACUGCAUGAAUCUUAUUGUGUAUUCAUGAAUGGUUUUUGACCUUGACAACAUCUUUUGGUACAAUUGAAACAAGAUUUGCUCAUAGUCAGGGGGGAAGAAAAUCUUGUUGCAGUAACUGUUUCAUCUGAUACCAUGUCUUGAUAGGUGCCUUUCCUUCAUGCUGUUUGAGGGAAUCAAGUAGAUAAAGUCAAGAAAUUGGAAGCUGUGCAAUUCAAAUGAAAAUUGGAGAAGAUAUUGGGAUUGAAGUUGGAGAUUAAUGUGGAUUAUUAAAUUGAAAGGAUGUGUCGUAACUGGAAGUCCAAUUGGAGGAGGAGUUCAAGCCAUUAAAUAAUUGCAAUUGAAGGAGAAUGCUAACUGGAGUGGAAGCCAUGCACCUAUAAAUAUAAUAUUAUAAAGAGAAUUGAAGGCGGGAGAGAGAAAAGAGAGGAAUUGAAGGUAGCAACAAUUAGUUGAAGAACUCAUGCAGCAGGAUUGCUAAGACGUUGCUGAAGCAAGGCAGAAGGGAAACUAGUGGCAACCAAGCAGUCACGCAUAGCGUUCGCAAAGAAGCCGCACAACCCUCUCACGUACCAGUAGCCGCACAACAAAUCUGUUUCGGAUCUAUCCCAGAUCUGUUGUGACCUAGAUCUAUUUUAGAUCUGGACAGGGAGUUUCCUUUAUUUUUCUUUUUGAGCUUCUGUUUUCUAUUUUUUUAAUUUUUUAAGAUUUUAAUUAUGCAACAACUCUUAGUUGAUUUUGAGAAUAUUUUAUUCAUUAUGAAUGGCUAAAUAAUUGUGUAGGAUUUACUCAA